GGUUUCAUCUUCUCCUUCGUUUCA
rnacentral:sRNA from 1 species